rnacentral:rRNA from 1 species
AGCGAACGCUGGCGGCAGGCCUAAUACAUGCAAGUCGAACGGCUCUUCGGAGCAGUGGCGGACGGGUGAGUAACACGUGGGAACGUGCCCUUUGGUACGGAACAGCUGAAGGAAACUUCAGCUAAUACCGUAUGUGCCCCCAUUCUUAGCGGGAUGGGUGGGAAAGAUUUAUCGCCAUUGGAGCGGCCCGCGUUGGAUUAGCUAGUUGGUGGGGUAAAGGCCCACCAAGGCUACGAUCCAUAGCUGGUCUGAGAGGAUGAUCAGCCACACUGGGACUGAGACACGGCCCAGACUCCUACAGGAGGCAGCAGUAGGGAAUCUUGCGCAAUGGGCGAAAGCCUGACGCAGCCAUGCCGCGUGAAUGAUGAAGGUCUUAGGAUUGUAAAAUUCUUUCACCGGGGAAGAUAAUGACGGCACCCGGAGAAGAAGCCCCGGCUAACUUCGUGCCAGCCGCCGCCGUAA